GCUUUGCAGAAUUAGAUUUUAAUAUAAUAGAACUAGUAUCUUAGCGCACUGCCGUUAAGAAAGUUAGUCUGAAAAGAAUAUAUUUUCGCCAACACCAGGGCACUUCAGAUUCACCAAGUACAAGUUUCACCCUGCCAUCUGGAUGUUUUUACAUUCAGAUGGCCAUCA
rnacentral:sRNA from 19 species